CAGCGGCGUUGCCGAUGGGCUUGCCGGCCGCGGUCUUGGCGAGGCGGUGCUUGAGCUCGGUGAGCAGGGCCUGGUUCUCCUGGUUCAGCAGCUGGGCCUUCUUGCGCAGCCGUUCGUUCUCCUUGAGGAUGUAGCAGUUCUGCAUGUACAGCUUGGCGUUGAGCCUGUCCAUCCCGCCUGGCGCCUGCCACCAAAAAAAAAAAAGCAACAGGGAAAAGAAGAAAUGGAAGCAGAAACAGUGAAGUGUGUUGUGGUCGUGUGCCAGCAAAAAUGCCAGGAUACUCAGGGGAUGUCCCUGCUGUGGCAACAUCCUUAGAGGUAAGAAGAAGAAGAAGAAGAAUGGAACACUAGCAGCAGAGUGUAGCAUGGAGACCCUGAAGGUUCCUUCUGUAAACAAGAUAAAGAAAUGGGAGGGUCACUCGUUCUAAACAAAUUAUGAUGGAUGUAAACACAUGUUAACGCCAUUGCAACUGCUAACAGAAUAUAUUAGUAGUA